rnacentral:rRNA from 1 species
UACGUAGGGUGCGAGCGUUAAUCGGAAUUACUGGGCGUAAAGCGUGCGCAGGCGGUUUUUUAAGACAGAUGUGAAAUCCCCGGGCUCAACCUGGGACCUGCAUUUGUGACUGUAUAGCUAGAGUACGGUAGAGGGGGAUGGAAUUCCGCGUGUAGCAGUGAAAUGCGUAGAUAUGCGGAGGAACACCGAUGGCGAAGGCAAUCCCCUGGACCUGUACUGACGCUCAUGCACGAAAGCGUGGGGAGCAAACAGG